rnacentral:rRNA from 1 species
CCUACGGGGUGCAGCAGUGAGGAAUAUUGGUCAAUGGGCUUACGCCUGAACCAGCCAAGUCGCGUGAGGGAAUACUGCCCUAUGGGUUGUAAACCUCUUUUGUCAGGGAGCAAUUGGCGCUACGUGUAGCGUUAUCGAGAGUACCUGAAGAAACAGCAUCGGCUACCUCCGUGCCAGCAGCCGCUGUAAUACGGAGGAUGCGCGCGUUAUGCGGAUUGAUUGGGUUUAAAGUGUGCGUAGGCGGAAUGCCAAGUCAGCGGUAACAUCGCGGGGCUCAACCUCGCUCCGCCGUUGAAACUGGCGUUCUUGAGUGGGCGAGAAGUAUGCGGAAUGCGUGGUGUAGCGGUGAAAUGCAUAGAUAUCACGCAGAACUCCGAUUGCGAAGGCAGCAUACCGGCGCCCAACUGACGCUGAAGCACGAAAGCGUGGGGAUCGAACAGGAUUAGAUACCCCUGUAGUC